UNGGAUGUAGACGGUUCUGGUUUUUGCUGU
rnacentral:piRNA from 1 species